CAUUAAUACUUUGUUCUCUCUAUCAUCUCUACCAUCUGCAAUGUCUGUCUCCAUUUCCUUCACCGUUUUCAUUCUCCUCCUCUCCUCCGUCGCCGCCGCUUUCCUCUUCUUACCCUGCUGCAACGUGUCGGGCGGUUGGCUCUUCCGGGAAGUCUCGGACUUCAUCUCAUUGGCGAGACUCUGAUGUGGUCGGAGCUUCCAAGUCGGAGGAUCCUGGGCCUUUCAUCGAGGAUAGAAUUUUUCAGAAUCGAUUUAAAUGACACAUAGAUUUGGUGAACUGACGAUUUUCUCAGCUGACGCAGAGUCGAACCAGUUUCUUAUUCAGAACAAAGAGAAGCUUUUGGAUUGCUCUUAUAUUAUCUCCCUUCAAAUGAUUCGAUACCAUAAAAGGAGGGGCAUAUUGAAUGUGGCGUAGUGGAAAGAGUGGUUUAAUGUUACUGAUGAGAAUGUUACUUAUGUUGAUUGAAUGCAAGAGUAAACUGUUCAGAGGUAAUAGAUUGAACAUCAACCGACACGACGAUGAAGAUCCAAAAAAAACUCAGAUUAAAUUGAAACGGUGAGUUCCAUACUCCGUGGACACGUGUCGCGCUUACAAUAACCGACUUUAUGACGUAGAAUCUUAGGUGGUUUCAGCAGGAGAGAGAAAACCCUCUUUUAAAUAUAUAGAUUUAAAACAUUUUUUAAAAACAUGUGAGAAAUCAUGCGUAAAACAAGACCAUUUUAUGCUAAGCUACUAAUCAUUUAUCUUAUAAUCUAAUCUUAA